rnacentral:snoRNA from 1 species
ACACUCUCAGGAUGGCACCUGGAGAGUUUCAGUACUCUACCAGUCUCAGCUAUGGGAGGAAGAGUCAAGCAGAGGCCUACCCAUUCCAUUCCUAGUUUGGGCAGUGGCUAGCGAGUGGAAGGCGAUCUGCUACAAGU